rnacentral:rRNA from 1 species
ACGGGUGAGUAACGCGUAGGUAACCUGCCUGGUAGAGGGGGCUUCUAUUGGAAACGAUAGCUAAUACCGCAUAAGAGUAGAUGUUGCAUGACAUUUGCUUAAAAGGUGGAAAUGGAUCACUACCAGAUGGACCUGCGUUGUAUUAGCUAGUUGGUGGGGUAACGGCUCACCAAGGCGACGAUACAUAGCCGACCUGAGAGGGUGAUCGGCCACACUGGGACUGAGACACGGCCCAGACUCCUACGGGAGGCAGCAGUAGGGAAUCUUCGGCAAUGGACGGAAGUCUGACCGAGCAACGCCGCGUGAGUGAAGAAGGUUUUCGGAUCGUAAAGCUCUGUUGUAUUUUUUUUUACGAGUGUGAGAGUGGAAAGUUCACACUGCGACGGUAUCUUACCAGCAAGGGACGGCUCACUACGUGCCAGCAGCCGCGGUAAUACGUAGGUCCCGAGCGUUGUCCGGAUUUAUUGGGCGUAAAGCGAGCGCAGGCGGUUAGAUAACUCUGAAGUUAAAGGCUGUGGCUUAACCAUACUACCCUUUGGAACCUGUUUAACUUUGAGUGCAUGAGGGGAGAGUGGAAUUCCAUGUGUCCCCGGGUGAAGUGCGGAAAAUAUAUGGAAGUAGCACCGGAGGGCGAAAGCGGCUCUCUGGGCCUGUAUCUGACGCUGGAGGCUCGAAAAGGCUGGGGGGAGCAAGCAGGAUUAGAUACUCUAUG